rnacentral:rRNA from 1 species
AUGGAGAGUGUUGAAGCUGCAAGUGCGAACUCCGGGAGAGUUGGGAUCAUUGUUUGGACCAAUGCCAUGACAAAAACCAUGCUUGGUUUUUUGGCUGGUCUUGUUGCUGAUGGGAAGAGAACGUCAAGUGGCUUCAGGGACGUGCAUCAUAGACAAUGUGCUAUUGUUUUGAACGAGCAAUUCAAGCUUUCUGUCACUGGAGAGCAAGUCAAAAAUCAUCUCAAGAAGUGGAGGAAGAUUUGGACGAAGGUGGUCAAUUUGAAGAAUUUAAGUGAAGCUCUAUGGGAUGAAGAUACUUGCACAAUUAGGCUCAGCGAGGAGCACUAUGCAGGGCAUUGUAUGGUAUGCUUCUCACCCUACAAAUCCGAUGUCGUUUUAUGUUUGCAUUAUGCUAAUCAUUUUGCACAAUGUUUGUAG